ensembl:lncRNA
UUUAAUUGCAGGAAAGUUUAUUCAAGAAAUUUAGCAAGAACAAAAAAGAAAUCUAAUAGUUUAAUUGAUGAUUUUUACUAUCUUACUACUCACUUAAUACACCUGAGCUAAUGCUGAUUGUGCUCUUAUCUUUGGUGAAGAGAGGAUGGAGAAAGGAUGAGCACACCUGGAUCUGAAGAUGCACUUAUCCUCAUGUUCUGAGUUGAUAAUAAUCACAAAGCCGCUCGGCAUUCAGUGGAAGUAUAAUGUAAAUUUAAAUUGUUCUGAAUUAACUAAAUAGGCAAAAAUGAGCAGAUGAAAAGCCAAAAAAUAUAAAACCAAUUUUGCACAUUUACAGGACUGCAGUUCCCCCUCGAGCAUCGCUGCUGGAAUUUGAACUGUGAACCUCUUAGAUCCAAUCAUCUGAACUGCUCAUCUCACAGAAGACAAAAGGGAAGAACUCAGAAUCUCUUCUUCAUCCCACUUUUAUACCUGCUCACCCUUUCUCCCCCUUCCUUCACUGGACGUCACAUCUUCACAUUUUAGCCAUCCAAUCAAGGUGCUGACAUUUAAUUAUCCGAGGUCCACCCACACCUUAUCCCCUCUCUCUAUCUGACUGUGUUACUAUCAGUAAAACCACAUAUCAGUAAAACCACAUAUAAAUCAUGCUUCUGUGUUUAACAAUGACAAUACUUAAUGCUUUUUUUAAGAGUUGGUGACACAGUUCUCAGAUAUUAUAACACUAAUUUCUACAACUCAAACUGCAUUUCUCAUUUAUGUAUUGAUCAAACUUACAUUUUGAUUUAUCUUUGAUUAAGAAUAGAAAUGCUUUAUGAUCAGGAAACAGUUUCCUGAUCAUCAGAGGCGGUAAAGGGGGGACUUCAAUCUCUGUCGACCUCAGAUCACAAGACAAAGUUGAUUUAUUACAGUUCAGUUAUUUAAACAGUAUUAUUGUUUUACAGUUUACUGCAUCCUAAAAAAUACUGUAAUGCUGAGCACAGUGAAACAUAAAUAACAGAUAUAAAAAUAUAUACAUAUAUAUGUAAAUGCAAUAGCUUAAAUGCAUAUAAUAAUAACAUAGUUUUUAAGUGAACAAAUUAACAUUUGUUAAAUUAAUAUAGUAAAUUCAGUACAUUCAUGAUUUUCAGUGUAAAAUGACAUAAAUAAGAAGCUUUAUGGUUACACUGUUGGAACCUUAUAUUUGUGAUCAAUAUCUAUUAAACAGUUUGUAGAAAUUCAUUCCAACCAGCUCUCAUUUCAUUUUGUAUUAAAGGUCUUAAAGGUCAGGAGGAUACAAAGAGAUCUUCUCAGAACUACUGCUGCUAUUAUAAGAGACAUCCAUCACUGGCAUGUGUCCAUACACGGGAUACAUGUGGAAAAACACCACAUAACAUGACAUUUAAAUUCAUCCGUCAAUUUUUUGUGUGAACCUGCAAUAAAAUGAUCUUUGACUGAAGAGAUUGGAGGAAAUGAGCUGGACUUAGUUUCAUAUCACACUGCAUUCAGUAAAGUUGUUAGAAAAUCCCUCUCAACAUAGACUGUUGGCAAACAUUUCUGGAUUAUCGAGUAACAGAGAGAAAACUUCACAGAGAGUAUUUUUUAAAUAAAAAGUUGAACCAAAACAUUUAUAAUUUACUGGUUCAUUUCCACAGGUUAUAUUUUCCAUUAAUGUAGCUGCUGUCGCUCUGUUAUGGACUCAAAGAUGGACAUAACCACUGUGAAACUUGGACCAGCUUUUUGAGGUCUUUAAUAAUGCAUUAUUCUAUUUUUGGUAAACACAAGUGGCCAUAUUUGAACAAAAAGGUGGCUGGAAUGGUAGCCUACUGGCUAAUGCUAGCUAGCACUAGUUAGCUAUGCUGGUAAAGAAAUUCACUUUGCAGUGAGAUUAAUGCUAUUAGUAAGCAUCUUUAGAACUUUUCAAGCUUUCCAAAGCUUAAUAAUUUGUUUUCAAGUCAAGUCAAGUCAGCUUUAUUUGUAUAGCACAUUUAAAAGACAUCAAGUGUCGGCCAAAGUGCUGAAAUCUUUCAUAUUAUUUCAGUUGUCAGUUUUAGUUUUGUUUGCUUUCAGAAAAAUAGGACUACUUGGUUAGGUUAAAAUCUAACCAGUUAAAAUUACAUGUGAAAUUCGCCACCUGGUUGGUUGCUAACUAAAUUUAGCAGCUUCCCUCCAUGAACAGCCUGCUUGCUGGUCAAUCUAUCACUCUGCACAGCUGCUCCAAACAGGCUGCUGAAAACUAAAAGGCUAAAUGCAAUGCCUAACCAUCCAACAGACAGUUAGACAGUUAUGGGAUGCUGCAGUUUAUUUCAUUAUGAUUUUAUGUAAUUGUCUAUGAAUUAUGACAAUAACAUAAUUAUGAAAUACUACAGUUUGAAAAAAAAGCAAAAUAGUUAUUUUUAAAGCUAAACUAUGAGUAACUAUCAUAAAAAAAUAGCAUUUAUCCAAGGCUAAUUAUGUUCACCUGCUGACUACUGAGGUGCCAUCCACAGCAUUAGAACUAAUGUAUUUCUACAGUAGAGUACAGAGGAGGUGAACCAACGUUGGUGUGAUUGGCAUAAACCUCAGGUAUACAGUAGACAGUAUCACAUAUAUUACCACAGGGGGCGCUGUUGGAGGAAGGAAUGUGGGAAAAAUCCACUUCAGUGUAAUCAGCAUCAUUCAUGUCAUCUGUAGCCUGAAAUAAAAUGGUGACAUCAAGCUUCAGAAUCUUAAAAUGAAUUUGUAAUUACAUGAACAUUUAGAGCUACUCACAGAAGGAAGAUAAUUUUUUGUACAUGUAGGUUAAAAAAUAGACUAAUUU